rnacentral:rRNA from 1 species
GAGUUUGAUCGUGGCUCAGGACGAACGCUGGCGGCGUGCCUAAUACAUGCAAGUCGAGCGGAUCUUCAUUAGCUUGCUUUUGAAGAUCAGCGGCGGACGGGUGAGUAACACGUGGGCAACCUGCCUGUAAGACUGGGAUAACUUCGGGAAACCGGAGCUAAUACCGGAUAAUCCUUUUCCUCUCAUGAGGAAAAGCUGAAAGACGGUUUCGGCUGUCACUUACAGAUGGGCCCGCGGCGCAUUAGCUAGUUGGUGAGGUAACGGCUCACCAAGGCGACGAUGCGUAGCCGGAGGCAGCAGUAGGGAAUCUUCCGCAAUGGACGAAAGUCUGACGGAGCAACGCCGCGUGAGCGAUGAAGGCCUUCGGUCGUAAGACUCUGUUGUC